rnacentral:lncRNA from 1 species
CGAAAGUAUUUCCUGGCGAUAUCUCAAUUUUGUCUUAUUUUUCUUUGCGCUUUCUAAAUCUGCAUCUCUGACUAACUGACGCUUCAUAAUCUUAUUCUCGUUCUCAUUGUUCCUGCGUGGAGAUGAACUCAAUCAAAUACAAAGGUACAUAUGCAUAUAUUUUACAUAUCAUCCAGAUACACAUGUAUAUAUUCUUUUGUUCUUUUACUUGAUUUAGUCACUUGGCUGCAGCCAUGCUGUAGCUCCACAUUUAGUCGCACAAGUCGACCCCAGGACUUAUUCUUUGUAAACCUAGUACUUAUUCUAUAUUUCGCGCUUGCCGGAACGCUAAGGUACAGGGACAUAAACACACCAACAACGGUUGUCAAGUGAAUAUGGGAGGACAAACAGAAACACAUACACGCACACACGUACACACGUACACAUGCACAUACAGUUUCCGUCUAACAAAUCCACUCACAAGGCUUUGGUCCGCCUGAGGCUAUAGUAGAAGCACCCAGUGUGCCAUGCAGUGGUUGGUAAUCAAGCUACUUACCACACAACUACUCCUGCGCCUAAUUAUACAGGGGUUAGGCAAAAUAAUGGAAACACAUUAAAAUUUCAAAUUUCUUGUAGUGAUGAUGAUGGAGGAUAUCGACUCCUUACUUAUUUUUCUAAAAUGCCCCAUAAAUGUUCAAUAAUAUUGAGAUCUGGGGAAUGUGGCGGCCAAAUAAGACGUUCAACUUCACUAGAAUCUUCCUCGUGCCAUUCACUAACAACUUUAGCUAUGUGAAUUGGUGCAUUAUCAACCUGAAAGAUUUCGUUUCCCUCUGGAAGCAGUUCUACAACCACAGGAUGAAUUUGAUCAGAUAAAAUGCUUAAAAAGUCUUGACUAUUAUUUCUACCAUGAAUGGAAACCACUUAGUCGGUGGAUUUUCAAGAUAUAGCUUCCCCAGAUCAUCACAGAUCCUCCUCCAUGUUUAACAGUUGGAAGAAUGCAGAAUGGCUCAAAUGCUUCUUUUGGUUGUCUCCAUACGUAUACUCGGCCAGUGGUCGAAGAUAAGAUAAAGUGUGAUUCGUCCGAGAAAUAACAUUCUUCGACUGCUGUAGGGGCCAAUUCUGUAGGUUUUUACUCCACUCUAAACGCUUUGCAACGUUUGUUUUUGAAAGUAACGGGAUUUUGAUUACAGCCCUCCCCUGGGAGCUGUAAUUUUGUGAUCCUUUCUAACAAUUUGCGUAAGAGUCCGACAGACCCUAUCUGAAAGUUUUGGUUUUCGCCCGGAGUUUUGUUUCGACGAGGAGGUCUUUCCCGCUUUCUCAAAGGCUGUUAUUACUUUCGAAACAGUACUUCUUCAUACACCAAAUAUAUCGGCUUCUUCGUUACGCACCUGGCAUACAGGCACCAACAAUUUAACCUCUUUAAAAGUCCGAUCGAUCUGUUAUAUUAAUGAAUUUUAAUUACCUUUUUUCUGGUGAUAUCUGAAUAUAAACAUUAAUUUUAGCAAAACGUAUUAAGCAACACUAAUAAUAAACCAAAAAUCUUUAAAAUAAACAAGUUGUUGAUGAUUUUCUAGAUAUUUGAAAAUUAUGAUGCUAUGAUGCUAGGUGUUUCCAUUAUUUUGGCCAACCUCUGUUUGUAUAUAUAUAUAUUUGAAUGCUGGACUACUGGUUUUAAAUUGAUAUUAAAUUAAUAUUAAUUUAUCUCCCUCAAUUUUUAAAUAUUUUUUAAAAAUACGUUCCCUAGUAGUAAGCUUUACCCGCAGUGAAUUAUUCACUGCAGCCCUUCGCUUCAGGAGUCUCUUAGCGCGCCGGAACCAAGACAUUUGAAAUUUUAUUCCUGAUGUAAUCACUAAGACUAAGCACGUGUCUGUCUUGACACAGAGAGUUGGGGUUAGUCUUGCGGUUUGCAUCUCGAGGACCGAAUGUACUGAAGAAGUCACUGACACUUGAAUUAUGCAAGUAAUUCUUUUGUUAAGACCGAAACCGAGGUAUGCAUUUAAGUCUAUUUUUUAUUUAAUUUUUCAUAUGUCCUGCCCGCCAAAUUUGGUUCUGGUGUUCGCUGAAUUCUUCCUCUGGAGAAUUUCCCUUGUAGUUUGAUCGUUUAUGAUCUAUUUCUAGCAUUCUGGCCGGCUACCUAGCAGGCCAGCCCUGCCAAUAUACACAUAUAUUUGAAUUUUCUCUGACUCCUCAGAUUCUUUGAAUGCUGGACUACUGGUUUUAAAUUGAUAUUAAAUUAAUAUUAAUUUAUCUCCCUCAAUUUUUAAAUAUAUAUAUAUAUAUAUAUAUAUAUAUAUAUAUAUAUACAUACAUAUUCAUGCACACACAUAUGUUUAUAAAGUAACAAAUGUAUAUCCUAGUCAUACAUGCUUAAAUACGUACAAGCAUAGAUACAUAUGUAUAUCUGAUGCAUUUCAUAUAUAUAUAUAUAUAUAUACAUAUAUAUAUAUAUAUAUAUAUAUAUAUAUAUAUAUAUAUAUAUAUAUAUAUAUAUAUAUAUAUAUAUAUAUAUAUAUAUAUAUAUAUAUAUAUAUUUAGGGGUUGGACAAAAUAAUUGAAACACGUUUUAAAUGCAAUGAAUAUUAAUUUAAUAUGGAAUUGGUGCCACUUUAGCUCUCUGAAUAGCUUCGAUGCUUCUUGGAACUGAUUCAUACAGCUUCCUGACUUCAUCGAGAGGAAACUUGGUCCAUUCUUCUCGCAAAAAUUUCUCCAGUUGUUGCAGACACGACGAAGGAUUGUAACGAUUUCUAAAUUGUCGCUCCAAGAUGCACCACAGAUGCUCAAUGAUAUCAAGAUCUGGAGAUUGAGGCAGAGCAGGGGCAGUCCAUGUGCUGUACCUCACUACUAUACACUUCAUGCCAAUUCUUAUUCACAUGAGAGGUGUUUAUUGGAGCAUUGCCAUCUUGGACGAUGCACUCACCAUCAAAGAAUAAUGUCUGGACCAUGGGAAGAGGCUUAUUUCCCAAAACAUUCAGAUAAUCAUUGGUGUUGAUCCUACCAUUUAGGGCAACGAUUUGACCAAGAUAGAAAUAAACAUUAAAUUAGAUAAAUAAAACCAUCUACAAUACAAAAAAAGCACUCACGAUGAAAUUUGGAUGGAUAUUCGCAAUAUAAUGGCUCAUUGAAAUAUUGGAGUUAAAUUUCUACUAUUCCAAUUAUUUUGUCCAACCCCUGUAUUUAUCAGGUCAUCCCAUAAGUUCUGUCCGAAUUUUGAAUAAAGAAGACAAGUAAUCAAACGUUAUAUUUAAUUGAAAUUUAAUCAUCAAUGUACUUCCCUGAUUAUCUAUGACUUCCUUCCAUCUAUUUACAAACUUUUUAAUCCCAUCAAUGUAAAUGUCUUUUGGUUUCAAAGCGAAGAACUCUGAAACGUCAGUUCCGAUCUCCUCAAGGCCUGCAGAAGUUAUGUCCCCCAAAUGAUUCUAUAAACUACGAAACAAAUGGUAGUGUAAAGGAGCAAGGUCGGGAGAAUAAAGUGGAUGAGGAAUUUUUUCCCAACCAGGCUCUUCGAUCUUCUGUGAUGUGGUCUUUGCAGCGUGGGGUCGUGUUUUCUCUUGAUGAAACAUCACUCCUUUUCGAUUCACUAAAGCGAGUCUCUUUUUCUUCAAAGCUUGGUUUAAACACCCUAAUUGCUGACAGUUUGACUUGAGCAUUGAUUGUUGCAUUAGGUGGUAACAAUUCAAAGUGAAUUACUCCUUUGCAAUCCCACCAGAUAGAGAGAAGAACCUUUUCCCCAUAAAGUUCCCUUCUCGUUUGUGGUUGAAUUUUUUUCCUUUCACCAAGCCAGUGUUUACGACGUUUAACAUUUCGAUAGAAGAUCCAUUUUUCUUCACCAGUCACAAGUCUAUCCAAAUAGUGUGAAAUGAGUUCGCGAGAAUGGAGAGAAGAGCAGAUGCCAACUCGGAAUUUGCGGUUGCUUUCGGACACUUCAUGAGGCACCAAUUUUCCAAGUUUAGGAACCUUUCCAAGUUGUGGAAGUUGUAUGGCUUGAACUAAGCUUUAUUGCCACUUGUUCAACUGAUAAUGCAAGAUUUUCUUCAAGUAAUGUCUCAAGAACUUAUCAUCAAACUCAACUUGACGUCUUGUUUGAUCUUCAUCUUCAAUGCUGAAAUCUCCACUUCUGAAUUUUGCAGGCCAUCUUCUGCAAGUUCUUUCAUUCAAGCAUUCUUUCCCAUAAACUGAGUGUAUGUUUCGUGUCGCUUCGGCUGCAGAGUUUCCUUUAUUGUACUCAUAAAGCAUUAUGUGCCUCAAAUGCUCUUUGGAUAUUUCCAUGUUAGAAAUGGUUUUAAUCAAAGCCAUUUUAAUUCUAUUCUAAUAUUUAAUUCAAUUGUAAAAAUGUAAAAUCAGACAGAACUUAUGGGAUGACUUGCUAGACACACACACACACACACACACACACACACACACAUAUAUAUAUAUAUAUAUAUAUAUACAUACAUACAUAUAUGUGUGUGUACAUAUAUAUAUAUAUAUAUAUAUAUAUAUAUAUAUAUAUAUAUUGUGUGAAUGUGUAUAGAAUAAUAUAUUAAUUGAAUAAAGUUAAAACAUAGUAUGGUUUUGAGUUUUUUUUUUAAUAAUGGUAUUUUAAAUUUAGCGCUUUCAUACAUAAUGUACUCAUCAGAUCUCAAAUGUGUUUAACUGACAGUUGAGUUCUUGAUAACUUUAGUAUUUCCUAGAACUCUCCAACCAGCUGAAUGUUUAGAAUAGCUUUUUGAUCAAUCCCCAUGCUCUUAAGCAUCGCUAUUUGCCAGGAAUACCGAUAUUCUGUAACUUGUUUAUAUUUAUUAAUCCACAACAUUAACUGGUUGUCAUAUCAUUGCUGUUAUUUCCGUUCAGAGCAGAUUUGAACAUUUUAAUAAACCGUUUUUCUUUUAUCGUUCUUCCAAACUCACUCGUGCCAUGUAGUUUGUGAAAAGGAAAAAUUAGAAACAUUUUCUGACUACAAGUCUCUAUAUGCUCAGUCAAUGGAAUUUGGCGAACAUUGGUCUUCCGGAUUUGUUGUGUGUGAACUCAUGAGCUUUCCGAUA